rnacentral:rRNA from 1 species
UACGUAGGGUGCAAGCGUUAAUCGGAAUUACUGGGCGUAAAGCGUGCGCAGGCGGCUUUGCAAGACAGAUGUGAAAUCCCCGGGCUUAACCUGGGAACUGCGUUUGAAACUACAAGGCUAGAGUGUGGCAGAGGGGGGUAGAAUUCCACGUGUAGCAGUGAAAUGCGUAGAGAUGUGGAGGAACACCGAUGGCGAAGGCAGCCCCCUGGGUUAACACUGACGCUCAGGCACGAAAGCGUGGGGAGCAAACAGG